rnacentral:rRNA from 1 species
GUAAGGAAUAUUGGUCAAUGGACGAAAGUCUGAACCAGCCAUGCCGCGUGGAGGAUGAAGGUCCUCUGGAUUGUAAACUUCUUUUAUAUGGGACGAAAAAAGGGUUUUCUAACUCGUCUGACGGUACCAUAUGAAUAAGCACCGGCUAACUCCGUGCCAGCAGCCGCGGUAAUACGGAGGGUGCAAGCGUUAUCCGGAUUCACUGGGUUUAAAGGGUGCGUAGGUGGGUUGGUAAGUCAGUGGUGAAAUCCCCGAGCUUAACUUGGGAACUGCCAUUGAUACUAUCAGUCUUGAAUACCGUGGAGGUUAGCGGAAUAUGUCAUGUAGCGGUGAAAUGCUUAGAUAUGACAUAGAACACCAAUUGCGAAGGCAGCUGGCUACACGAAUAUUGACACUGAGGCACGAAAGCGUGGGGAUCAAACAGG